AGGUGGAGCCUGCGGUUUAAUCGGACUCAACGCCGGGAAACUCACCAGAUAAGACAGCUGAAUGAUAGUCGGGCUGAAGACUCACUUGACUAGCUGAGAGGAGGUGCAUGGCCGUCGUCAGUUCGUACUGUGAAGCAUCCUGUUAAGUCAGGCAACGAGCGAGACCCACGCCAACAGUUGCCAGCUCGUCCUCCGGGAGUGGUGGGGACACUGUUGGGACCGCCUCUGCUAAAGAGGAGGAAGGAAUGGGCAACGGUAGGUCAGCAUGCCCCGAAUUAUCCGGGCUACACGCGGGCUACAAUGGGUGGGACAAUGGGUAUCGACACCGAAAGGUGAAGGCAAUCUCCUAAACCCAUCCGUAGUUCGGAUUGUGGGCUGCAACUCGCCCACAUGAAGCUGGAAUCUGUAGUAAUCGUGUCUCAAAAUGGCACGGUGAAUAUGUCCCUGCUCCUU
rnacentral:rRNA from 1 species